rnacentral:rRNA from 1 species
CAUAGGUCUCGUUGGUGACCAGCGGAGGGUCAUUACCGAGUUUACAACUCCCAAACCCAAUGUGAACGUUACCAAACUGUUGCCUCGGCGGGAUCUCUGCCCCGGGUGCGUCGCAGCCCCGGACCAAGGCGCCCGCCGGAGGACCAACCAAAACUCUUAUUGUAUACCCCCUCGCGGGUUUUUUACUAUCUGAGCCAUCUCGGCGCCCCUCGUGGGCGUUUCGAAAAUGAAUCAAAACUUUCAACAACGGAUCUCUUGGUUCUGGCAUCGAUGAAGAACGCAGCGAAAUGCGAUAAGUAAUGUGAAUUGCAGAAUUCAGUGAAUCAUCGAAUCUUUGAACGCACAUUGCGCCCGCCAGUAUUCUGGCGGGCAUGCCUGUCCGAGCGUCAUUUCAACCCUCGAACCCCUCCGGGGGGUCGGCGUUGGGGAUCGGCCCUUUACGGGGCCGGCCCCGAAAUACAGUGGCGGUCUCGCCGCAGCCUCUCCUGCGCAGUAGUUUGCACACUCGCAUCGGGAGCGCGGCGCGUCCACAGCCGUUAAACACCCCAAACUUCUGAAAUGUUGACCUCGGAUCAGGUAGGAAUACCCGCUGAACUUAAGCAUAUCAAUAAGCGGAGGA